CCCAUAGGUUCAAUUUUGUUUAGUAGUGAGACAUACCAUGAUUCUAUCAGAGGUAUCACUGAAAUCCCUUUCAGUAGAUCGAAAUAGUUUCACUCUAACUCGACAAGGAUCAUUGAUCCAAAAUGAUUCCAUUGAGCUCUCACAAUCUAUCAGUGAUAUCUAACAAUAUGUAGUUGCAACCUAGCAGAAUUGAAAUAGAAUCUCUAGGUGUAGUUAAUAUAUGAUACAGUCCCUCUACUGUGAGUCCCGACUUGAUGGC
rnacentral:lncRNA from 1 species